UGUGUUCAUCGUCCGCUCGUCAGUCAGUGCGUUGAUGCCCCAACCGUUCGUUCGAUCAUACAACAGCUCGUGUCGUUCAUCCAUCCAUCGUUAGCUCCGCUCAGUCAUUACCACCGACACCUCCACCGCACCACCUGUGUCUCUGUCGAUUGCUGUCGCUACGUGGGUUUCACCAAGACCGAUGUUUGGAUUAGUUUUUAGGCCUUUUUGGAUUAUUUUGUUGGAGGUUAAUUACCCAUUCAAAUUUUUUUGGCUUGGAUUUUUAUCCAUAAUUUUUUGAUGUUAGAUUUUGAGAUUUGGGAUCACUAAACCGUUGUCCAGCAGAUUAAAGAUCGGGUCGACGACUUUUUGUUUGAUUGGAGGUUUUUUUUAGAGGCAUCAAGCUCAUUCGAAUUGUUUUCGUGUUGGGAAUUUCAAGGUGAUUUCGGAUCAAGGAACAAUUUGAAAGGUUGGAAUUGAAGGUUCAAAGAUGCCAUCCAUCGAGAUUAAAUGUUGAAUUUGUGACUAGAGUUGUUGGGUUGUAUGAUUUUGUAGCUUGAGGUGAUGUUUGGACCAACACAUUUUUGGGAUCUAAUUCAAAGAUUGUAGAAACUAAAAGGAUUUGCUUGCUUGGAUGUAUAAUUUGAGCUUGAAUUUGAGGUAAUGACAGAAAUAGGUCAGCGAGUGACAAACAGGACCCGUGACAGAGCCAUAUGAGGACAUCAAAAUUGCUUCUGC